ACCCACUUCCUUUGAUUAUAGGAAACCAAUGUUUCGUUAUUUUAUUGCAGUGAUUGAAUUAUGUCUUCCAUUUCUAAUGCUUGUGGUAAUUGAUGAAUUGCUUGCAUUAAGCGAGGUCAAGGAUGUGCAAUUUUCCAGCUGAAGACUUUAUUGUUCAAAUGGGAGUACAGGAAAUUACAAGCACUAGCAGCUUUUAAUAGAUUUUUUGUGCUACUAAACAUGGUCAACAGACUAUACUGCGAAAACUGUCUUUUACCGUGAGCGCCCUGAAUACACACUGAUUGCAUCUCCUCCAGGUGUCAUCUUGCCAUGGGCAGCGCCCCGCACCGCCAUGUGCUAGCCAGCAAGAGAGGAAUAUGGCAUCAGAAUGCCCUGGAUUGCUGCACUAGGCACCAACGGCGAGUCGAAGAACAGCAAGGAGCGGCUGCUGUAGCUUUGGACCGCACGGCGCUGGCGACAACAGGUUUGGCCCCUUUAAACCUCGGUCUUCGCAUCCAUUGGAUUCUCUUUUCAUGACUAUAGUACGUUGUAUGGAUAGAAGAAGAAGAGGGCCAGCACAUCUUUGAGAGAAGCAGGCGAGGCGCCAUUGAGAACAGUACUUCAGAUCAUAGGCUUGUAGUACCUUCAGUUGACCUUUGUGACUUAAUUGGAUGAUUUAGAACUGUACUCUAAACCAUAAGUCUUUGACUUUAAGAUGCUCACUGUAAAGAGAAUCUCUCUCUGUGAAGUAGUUGCCUAUUUGACUGGCCUACCAGUUCUGCGAUAUUCGUUGGACAUUAGGAAGGAGCAUGUUAAUUUGGUUGAUGCACAAUUACAGAAGUUGGUAUACAGUGGCCGGCUUAGCUGAUCAAGAGGAAUUGGACAGAUUUGCAAAGCUGCAUUGACAAGGCAUUUGACUGCAUUUAUAUACUCUACUUUCAAUUUUAUUUCAUGGGUGUCGGGCGUUGGCAGCUUGCUAGCUGCUGGGUGACACGGCCGCGGCAGCAGUUCAGUGUUCCUCUCAUAUUCAGUUAGGAUGAUGAGAAGGUAAUUAAAUUCAGAUGCAUUGUACCCUCCACGGAUUUUAUUUCGUUUGCUUUGUGCUUGCUUGGUCCUGAAAGCCAGCUUUAUAUUUCUAGACUAGAUACUAUUCGGAAGUGGAUGUAGUACAUUCAGCCAGGUCCAGCCAGGUCUGAAGGCACGCUUAGUGUUUUUCCUGUUGAGUAAUUGGUAUGUACAUGGAGAGAUCUGAUUCUGUCAGCUUCAAAAUUUGCUAAUUCAUCAUCUUCUUUGUACAUACUCUUUGCAGAGAUACAAUCUAUAAGGGAUAUCAACACAUGGUUGCAGUGGUCCAUGUUGUGUACAGUAAUUACUUGAUGAGUAAUGUAAUUGUUGUGUAGUAGUACAAUCUGGCUAUUAGAUAUUGCCAGCAUUUUCUUGUCAUUUGGUUAUUCAAAGAAUUGAUAUUAGGGUAGUAGGACAUAAUAAGACUUUUCGAUAAUAUACAAGUUAAAUAUGUAUUUAAUAAAGGUUCAUUGAUGCAGAGGAUGGGGCUUUCCCGUUUAAAAAGAAGUUAAAUAUGUGAUUAUGCAUAAAAGGAAGUCCCCGGUCUAUUUUUGUUGUGGUAUCUCGGCUUAAUGAUUCUUUCAAGGGAAGACAAGAUGGAAAAGAAGCAUCACGAACUAACCCUGGAGAAUUGAUUGUACCUCACUAGCGUCGCCAGUCUCCUAACCGAAGGUUGGUGUAAGAACCUUCACCUCCUUCUGUUUCAUGGGAGCCGCUGGCGCCAUGUCGGACGCGAUGACAUCUGGAUUGGCAGAAAACACACAUUGGCUGCGAGCGCGGCCGUAUUUUGGAGCUAAACCUAGAAAGUUUCUUGAUUUAUGACGAAAGUGGAGUUCGUGUGGAAAAGGUGGAGGCAAAUCGGUCGAGGUGGGUUUACACAGGGCUGGCAGUUUGGUCCAUACACACGGAUACAAGAAAUAUGUAUUGGCUAUAUUUGCGUAUACUGUACAUACGAGGUUUUCAUUAGCUAAAUUUGGUUAUAUCUGCGUAUAAUGUACAUACAAGGUUUCCAUUAGCUAGACCACGGAUACAAGAAAAAUGAACUGACUA